rnacentral:rRNA from 1 species
UACGUAGGGGGCAAGCGUUGUCCGGAUUUAUUGGGCGUAAAAGGCUUGUAGGUGGCCACGCCAAGUCGGAUGUGAAAUCUCCCGGCUCAACUGGGAGGGGUCAUUCGAUACUGGCGGGCUCGAGGCCGGUAGGGGGAAGUGGAAUUCCCGGUGUAGUGGUGGAAUGCGUAGAUAUCGGGAGGAACACCAGUGGCGAAGGCGGCUUCCUGGACCGGUUCUGACACUGAGGAGCGAAAGCGUGGGGAGCGAGCCGG